rnacentral:rRNA from 1 species
UACGUAGGCAGCGAGCGUUGUUCGGAGUUACUGGGCGUAAAGCGUGCGUAGGCGGUGUCUUAAGUUUGUUGUGAAAUCUCCCGGCUUAACCGGGAGGGUGCGGCGAAUACUGAGAUGCUGGAGUGCCGGAGAGGUAAGCGGAAUUCCUGGUGUAGCGGUGAAAUGCGUAGAUAUCAGGAGGAACACCGGUGGCGAAGGCGGCAUCCUGGACCGGCAUUGACGCUGAGGCGCGAAAGCCAGGGGAGCAAACGGG